UAUUUAAAAAAAAAAUAUAAAAGACAUAAAACCCAAUUUAAAAGAUAAACACGGAGCCCCCACUCAAUUAUUUUCUUUCACGUUUCCAUCUUUUUCUUUCUACUAGAAGCUUCACCAUUUCUUCAUCACCCCCACUGUCAAUUGUCUUCUUCUCCUUCUUCCAAAUAACCAAAUUUCUUCCAUGAACCAUAUACUCUUGAGUGAAAACAAAACUACACAUCUAAGCAAAGCUACCUUACGGUCUUACUAGUACUAGUGGAGAUGAUUUUGGGAUUAGGGUUUGUGCUCUAAGAAAGGAGAUGCAUACCCACUCUUUGAAAGUUACUUAUUGAGACUCUUUGAGAAAUGACGUUGGAAGCUUCACAUGCUUUUCAGGAGUGGUAGGAGAGAAAACUAAGUUGAUUCGUCAUAACUAUUCAAAGUCAGCUGAGUAGGGGUUUCUAACAGAGUUAAAGAUCUGUCAAUGUCACUCUUUUGAUUCAAAGUCAGCUGAGUAGGGGUUUCUAACAGAGUUAAAGAUCUGUCAAUGUCACUCUUUUGGUAGGCCUUCUUGAUGAAAAACUAUUUUGUAUAUGUAUAUUUUGAGUCGAUCGAGUAUCUGCAGCUAUUUUGAGUCUAGGAAUAUCUUGUUUUGAAAUGUAUCAAUUUAAAUAUGUAUAUUUUGAAACUUCUGACUGAAGGAUGUAUAUGCUGCAAACAAGAUUUAUUUUGAUUUGGAAACAUUGAAAAUAUAGAUGAGAUUUAGUCGAAA